UACGGGGGGGGCAAGCGUUGUUCGGAAUUACUGGGCGUAAAGGGCUCGUAGGCGGCCAACUAAGUCGGAUGUGAAAUCCCCAGGCUCAACUUGGGAACUGCAUCCGAUACUGGAUGGCUUGAAUCCGGGAGAGGGAUGCAGAAUUCCAGGUGUAGCGGUGAAAUGCGUAGAUAUCUGGAGGAAUACCGGUGGCGAAGGCGGCAUCCUGGACCGGCAUUGACGCUGAGUGAGCGAAAGCCAGGGGAGCAAACAGG
rnacentral:rRNA from 1 species